rnacentral:rRNA from 1 species
CUACGGGGGGCAGCAGUGGGGAAUAUUGGACAAUGGACCAAGAGUCUGAUCCAGCAAUUCUGUGUGUUUGAUGAAGGCCUUCGGGUUGUAAAGAACUUUAAGUAGGGAAGAAGAAAGUGACGGUACCUACAGAAUAAGCGACGGCUAAAUACGUGCCAGCAGCCGCGGUAAUACGUAUGUCGCAAGCGUUAUCCGGAAUUAUUGGGCAUAAAGCGCGUCUAGGCGGUUUAUUAAGUCUGAUGUGAAAAUGCGGGGCUCAACUCCGUAUUGCGUUGGAAACUGGUAGACUAGAGUAUUGGAGAGGUAGGCGGAACUACAAGUGUAGAGGUGAAAUUCGUAGAUAUUUGUAGGAAUGCCAAUUGGGAAGCCAGCUUACUGGACAAAUACUGACGCUGAAGCGCGAAAGCUAGGGGAGCAAACAGGAUUAGAUACCCCAGUAGUC